GUGCUCGCUUUGGCAGCACAUGUAUUAAAAUUGGAACGAUACAGAGAAGAUUAGCAUGGCCCCCGAGCCAGGAUGACACGCAAAUUGGUGAAGCGUUCCAUAUUUUU